AGUGAACGCUGGCGGCAGGCCUAACACAUGCAAGUCGAGCGGCAGCGCGGGGGCAACCCUGGCGGCGAGCGGCGGACGGGUGAGGAAUACAUCGGAAUCUACCCAGUCGUGGGGGAUAACGUAGGGAAACUUACGCUAAUACCGCAUACGACCUGAGGGUGAAAGCAGGGGACCGCAAGGCCUUGCGCGAUUGGAUGAGCCGAUGUCGGAUUAGCUAGUUGGCGGGGUAAAAGCCCACCAAGGCGACGAUCGGUAGCUGGUCUGAGAGGAUGAUCAGCCACACUGGAACUGAGACACGGUCCAGACUCCUACGGGAGGCAGCAGUGGGGAAUAUUGGACAAUGGGCGCAAGCCUGAUCCAGCCAUGCCGCGUGUGUGAAGAAGGCCUUCGGGUUGUAAAGCACUUUUGUCCGGGAAGAAAAGCCAGGGAUUAAUACCCCCGGGUUCUGACGGUACCGGAAGAAUAAGCACCGGCUAACUUCGUGCCAGCCGCCGCAGUAACAC
rnacentral:rRNA from 1 species